AUUGAACGCUGGCGGCAGGCCUAACACAUGCAAGUCGAACGAGUGGCGGACGGGUGAGUAAUGUCUGGGAAACUGCCUGAUGGAGGGGGAUAACUACUGGAAACGGUAGCUAAUACCGCAUACCAUCGGAUGUGCCCAGAUGGGAUUAGCUAGUAGGUGGGGUAAAGGCUCACCUAGGCGACGAUCCCUAGCUGGUCUGAGAGGAUGACCAGCCACCGUGGAACUGAGACACGGUCCAGCCUCCUCGGGGAGGCAGCAGUGGGGAAUAUUGCACAAGGGGCGCAAGCCUGAGGCAGCCAUGCCGCGUGUAUGAAGAAGGCCUUCGGUUUGUAAAUUACUUUCAGCGGGGAGGCGUUACCCGCAGAAGAAGCACUGGCUAACUCCGUGCCAGCAGCCGCGGUAAUUC
rnacentral:rRNA from 1 species